rnacentral:lncRNA from 1 species
AGGUAAGUUACGUGUGUUCUUAAUUUUUUUUUUUUUGUGGAUUUUUGUUUUAUGCCGUGAACUGUAAUUGUGUCUGUGCAGUUGCGAGUAAAAUGUUUGUCAGCCUCCCGCCAUAUGACCCGGGCUACCUCUGGUCUCCGUGAGAAGGAGAAAGAACUCAUGGCCUCUUUGGCUGAUAACUCUGAGCUACAAGAGCGGCUGCGUCAAGCCCAAGCUGAGCUAGCAAAGGUGAAGGUGGAGAAGGAGUCCAUCGAAACUGAGCUUGCUCGUGUAACCAGGGAGAAGGCGAAAGAGCUUG